rnacentral:rRNA from 1 species
GGUGAACGCUGGCGGCGUGCUUAAGACAUGCAAGUCGAACGGCAGUCUUCGGACUGUAGUGGCGCACGGGUGAGUAACGCGUAACUGACCUACCCCAGAGUCGCGGAUAGCGAUUCGAAAGAAUCGCUAAUACGUGAUGUGCUGUCAGAUUGUGUUCUGCCAGUAAAGAUUGAUUGCUUUGGGAUGGGGUUGCGUUCCAUCAGCUAGUUGGUGGGGUAAAGGCACACCAAGGCGACGACGGAUAGCCGGCCUGAUAGGGUGGCCGGCCACAGGGGCACUGAGACACGGAUCCCACACCUACGGGAGGCAGCAGUUAGGAAUCUUCCACAAUGGGCGAAAGCCUGAUGGAGCGACGCCGCGUGAGGGAUGAAGGUCUUCGGAUCGUAAACCUCUGAAUCAGGGACGAAAGACACUUCGGUGGGAUGACGGUACCUGAGUAAUAGCACCGGCUAACUCCGUGCCAGCCGCCGCCGUAAGAC